UACGGAGGGAGCUAGCGUUGUUCGGAAUUACUGGGCGUAAAGCGCGCGUAGGCGGCUUUGUAAGUUAGAGGUGAAAGCCCGGGGCUCAACCCCGGAACUGCCUUUAAGACUGCAUCGCUUGAAUCCAGGAGAGGUGAGUGGAAUUCCGAGUGUAGAGGUGAAAUUCGUAGAUAUUCGGAAGAAACACCAGUGGCGAAGGCGGCUCACUGGAGCUGGUAUUGACGCUGAUGUGCGAAAAGCGUGGGGAGCAAACAGG
rnacentral:rRNA from 1 species